GCAUAAAUGGAUGGCUAAUUGAGACGUCUAGAAAGCGAAGGUUGGAAAUGGUAUAAAUGGAUGUUGGAAGCAAGAGAGAUGGCAUUGUCUGCAAUUUUGAAGCAUCUAAUUUGAGAAGUGUCUUCCAGUCACCGUAACCGAAUCAAUCACCAUGGCCAAGGCUCUCUUCCUCGUUCUCGCUGCCGUCCUCAUCGUGGCUGUCGUCGCCGACUUCGACUUCGAAGAUGAAGAAGCUCUUGAUGAGAUGCUCUCCUUUGAGAAGAGGGGAAGCAUGAUGAACAAGUACAGAUUCUGUAUGAAGGGUCAGAACAGCUGUUGGUGUAAUAAGAAGACCAGGAAGGUUGUCUUCUGUAAUGGCAAGGGUCAGUAAUCUUAAAAACAUCCAAAGAAUUCAUCCGAUCGAAAGGCCUAAACACUUCUCGACAUCAUACCACCCCUUCAUCCUAAUGAGAAACCAAACUGAAAGUUUAUCCUGCCAUCAUCCACCCACCGGAGUCCAUUCCAACCAACGAGGUAGCAAGCUUCCUCUUCUCUCAGAUUUCGAAUCUUUAUUUUUGUAUUAAAAGUGCCCUGUCCUUCUUUUUUGGAAGAUCACGUGCGUGUACUGACGACCCCAUCGUGGUAAAAUGUCCAUGAUUUGAUAAAAUGGUGAAUUUGCCAUAAUAAUAAAUGCCCUUCCAUAUAA